ACGCUCGACACCUACGGGAGUCAGCAGUCGGGAAUAUUGCGCAAUGGAGGAAACUCUGACGCAGUGACGCCGCGUAUAGGAAGAAGGUUUUCGGAUUGUAAACUAUUGUCGUUAGGGAAGAGAAAGGACAGUACCUAAGGAGGAAGCUCCGGCUAACUACGUGCCAGCAGCCGAGGUAAUCUGAGCGGGCUGGCAAGGC
rnacentral:rRNA from 1 species